ensembl:lncRNA CACNA1C-AS4 CACNA1C antisense RNA 4
AGGAUCAGAAGGCACUACUGACCACCAGCAUUCUUUCCAACCAGGCAGUUCCAUCCAGGAACAGGUAUCCUUGUUGGUAACUGGAUAAAAUCCUAUGGACUUGCUGAACCAAAAGAAAUGAGCAUUUUGAAGCCUUUGAACAUUUUGUCAAAUGACCCUCCAAGAGAAUGUAAACUCUCGCUCAGCGCCAAGCACAGCAUCAUCAGUGCCUGUCAAAGUGCCUCGCAUAUAGUUCAUCCUCGAUAAAUACAUGUUGAAUAGAUGAAUGCACAGGAAAAAGGAAAUAAUUUUAGUAUUGCGCUAACCAAGCAUAAUACUCAAGCUAAAACUAAUGUAAAACUUACCACCAGCUGCCUUCCGGAAACAAGUGAAAAAAGACAAGAGACACCACAAACAAUGGUGAGUCAAGACUGGUCAGUAACUACAGAUCCCAAAGCUCCAGCUGAAGAUGGCUCUCCUACAUCAGACUGAUCUAGGAGAACCCAACCUAGUAUCAGCACCCCUUCACACCUAGUAUCAGCACCCCUUCACACCUAGUAUCAGCACCCCUUCACAUCUAGUGUCAGCACCUCUUCACACCAAAUAUCAGCACCCCCUGUCUCAUGGGAGGGCAGAGGUAAUGCUUGUACCAGUUCCCCAUGCCUGAGCCUUACCAGGGAGCCAGCACUGUAGCUGGUGUAUCACAUGCGUUAGCAUGCACAGGCCUCACAACUCUGCAGUAUCAUCAUUCCCACUCUUACAGAUAAUGAAACUGAGGUUCAGAGAGCUAUGGAUUAAGCUCAGCUCAAAGGAGUUGAGCAGAGGGAGCUUUGAAUUGUGUCAGUAUUCCAGCACAUAUCUAUCUGACUCUAUAUACAUGCUUUCUGUACAAUUGCCCAGGGACCCCACAGCACUGCCAGUUGGAGAACAGGGGAGCCCAGAUGCUGGUCCCUGACCACUUCCACCGUCUUGUGCUGAUUCUGGAUGCAGGAUGCAAAGAACCAUUUCCCUCAGCAUCUGAGGAGGAGGAAAUCCUUUCUAUCAUGGAAAGCAGCUUGGGUUCUCAUGACAAAUUCAAUGUCAGAGAGCUGAACCAACAUCAUAGAGUGCUCUUCAAGGAAAGCCUCCCUCCUGGGCCCUCCACUGCCUAGGUCACCAGGCCUCCAGACUCCAGGCCUCCAGAUCCCAGGCCAAAAGGCUGCUUGUAUUUCCUUACUCUCCCAGGGCCUCUCCUGAUACCUGGCCUCUGAAAUUCUUUCCACAUAUAAGGGUGCACUCAGUGUUCGUGAAAGCAAGUGUUUCCAGGGUUUCAGAUGCUCCACAGAGAAACUUUCAUAGUCAUUCAAAAAGAUUAGCUUUUCUCUCUAAUUCACAUCAUCACCAAGGAAUAAAGCCUCACAGGUUACGGGCUGGAGCUUCUUCCUCUGAGGGUCUAACAGGAAAAGCUGGACAAGGAUAUAUUUGUUCUUUUCUACUUACAGCCCGAAAGAGUGGCACAGUCCCCAAAAAUACUUCAUUCUGUAGUUUUUUUAAAUAAAUGGACAAAAAAAUAAAA